UACGGGGGGGGCAAGCGUUGUUCGGAAUUACUGGGCGUAAAGGGCUCGUAGGCGGCCAAUUAAGUCGGACGUGAAAUCCCUCGGCUUAACCGGGGAACUGCGUCUGAUACUGGAUGGCUGGAGUAUGGGAGAGGGAUGCGGAAUUCCAGGUGUAGCGGUGAAAUGCGUAGAUAUCUGGAGGAACACCGGUGGCGAAGGCGGCAUCCUGGACCAUUACUGACGCUGAGGAGCGAAAGCCAGGGGAGCAAACGGG
rnacentral:rRNA from 1 species